CAGGCUUUUAUUUUGAAGAACUGAAUGUGGUCAGAUUAAACUAAUCUGCUGAUUAUCCCAUCUGUGUUUUAAACAUCUUUUCUCUCACUUUGUUUUCUAACAAAAUAAAAUUAAAAUGUUUGAUAACUUUG